GUAAUAUUGGCAAAGAUAAAGACAUGCGCAUAUUUAAAAUUUUAUCACGUUUUAAGAUAUAAAAUUUGUUUAAAUAUAGCAAAUAAUAUAUUGAACUCCACUCGAGAAAGACUGGUAGCUUAUUUAGUUAGGAGUUGUGUACUUCAACUGGGUUUCUUGAACGUUAACAAGAAAAUCAAAAUGUGUUUCAAAGUAACCUGCGAAUCAUGCAACAAGCCAACAUGGGCAGGUAAGCUAUUUACUUUUUCUCAUUUAAAUACAUACCAUUCAUUUGUUUACACCUGUCCGUAGUCACCUGUUGUUCAGUUGUUGUCGUUUGUUGAUAUGAUUCUUGAGUGUUUUUCGUUUCUCGUUUUUGAAUAGAUAAGACCGUUGAUUUUACUGUUUGAAUUGUUUAAACUAGUAAUUUUUAGGCACUUUAUAGCUUGCUGUUCUCCACAACAUUUUCAAAAUUAAUUUUAUGACUUUCUUUCGUAAUUUGACAUUUGCUGUAUUAAAGAGAUUCUUGUGUGUUCCAAUUCAAAAAUUGGGGAUUGAAAAGCCAGAAUUAUUGUCCCAACCACUAGAACUGCUUUCUAGACAUUCUUAUAAACAGUUUCGUCAUUUGCACAUAGUGAACUAAAUGCUUAUAAUUUCCUCUCCUGUAUCAACGAAACGUAUCUACUAUAAAUACGAGUUUGAAUUCCGGUAACAGUAAGGGAAAACGCAUUACCUUCAACUUUGGAAUCCAUGUUUCUAUACAUUUUUAAACUGAGAAGAAGAACGAUUUACAUUUUUGGACGAAAUAGAGUCGAAAUCGCAUGCAACAUUGCAGCUAUGAGAUACAGGGAUUGGAAUACAUGUUGUUUUGCAAUCAAAGUAUUAUUUGUAAUAAUUAAUCAUCAACUUCAUUCCUACCCACAGGAGAAUAAGAACUAAUUUUAAAUAGUAUUGUGUUAUUCUGUUUUGAUGCAACUGUGAUUUUUUUACGAAAGUUGCAUACAAGCUAUGUUUUAUCUGACAUUAAAAUAUGUUAACAGCACCUUUAUGUGCUACAUUUAUUGGUUUUAAAAUUCAUUUUAUUACAUUUCUAUCCGUUGCGCAGAAAUAUACACGUAACAUUUAGUAUCAAAAGAUAUAUGCAAGCGAUUUAAAGAAAAAAAGCAUUUGGAAUUUCCAAAAAUCUAAGUCAUGUCUAUCAAUUGAUCAAUUUACUUGUUUGCAAACUGAAAUUGAGAGUGACAACGGGAGAUGUGUGAAAGUGACAAUUAACCCAAAGAGCAGAAAACAGUCCGAUGCAAACAAUGGAUCUAACUACAGCGAGAAAAUCCAGCACCUGGAGGCCUGCUGCAGUUGGCCCCUAAACAAAAAGGUGUACUAGUUCGGUGAAAAUGAACGUCACACUAAACUCUGUAACAUAUAAAUGAACAACAUACAAGACUAACAAAGGCCAGAGGCUCCUGACUUUGGACAGGCGCAAACAUACAGCGGGGUUAAACAUUUCGAGCGAGACCUAACCCUUCCCUAUACCUCCAACUUAAGUUGAAUAAACAAACACGUAGCAUAACACAUAGUAAAACUAAGUUAAAAAGUCUGAGUCCGAUGUCAGAAUAUAGAUAACAGAAGAAAUUAAGCAAAAUGACAAAGAUACAUAAAUUAACAAAGGACUACUGGCAGUUACUUACGUGCCAGCUCAAGACAUACAUUAAACUGAUUGAAAGGUUAUGUCUACAUAAUAAUAAUAUCAAGUACUAUAACUCCUGUUAGGGAUUUAGUAUCAUAAAUCAUGAAAUAUAUUUGUAUAACAUAACUCGUCUCAUACACGUGGUUAUUUCCGAUGCAAGGACCUAUAAGUGAAUCAAUACUAAUUACAAAUAAUGCAUCUUUAAUGAAUAAAUGCAGUGUUGUAAGUAUAUCCUUCUGAAUAAGUAUGUUCAAAUGGUAAGCAUUCAUUUCAGUUAAAACAAAUGAUUAAAAAAUAACAUUUUACGUUAACGGCAUUAUCACCUUCCUUGUAUCGUAUGCCCCUUAAAAGCGAAUAGGUAUCAUUUUUUUCUUGACGCGUUUCGAUAAGUUACUCUCAGAAAUAGACUAAAAAUUACCAUUAGAAUUACAAAAUAUUUCAUAACAUAAUCGAAGAACUAGUAUGUGACAUAUGAAAACCUGUGUAUAUAUUGAUUGUAUUUUUCAGGAUGUGGAAAUCACAUUGAAAAAUGUUUGAAAGAUAUUCCACCAGAAGAAAGAUGUAAAUGCCCGAAAAAGUCAAAUUAAUGGUGAUUUUUGAUUCAACUUUAACUACGUGUAUAAUUUUCUAAUGACUAAUUGCAAUCUUGAAUCAAAUAAGCAAAAGGAACAGGUCACAUCAAGUAGUUACAAUCAAUAGAAAAAGAUAAAGGCAUGCACUAAAAACAUGAGAUGAAUUUUGCUAUGUUCAAUGGAAUUAAUAGCUUUUACUCUGAAAAAUAACUAGCUUCAUAUACUUUAUUUGUUUUGAUUAAAACAUUUUUUUCAGAUGUAUAAGUAAAGUUCUGAAUAUACAUUGAAUAUUUGCUGGGCAUUUUGAAAUUUCCAUUGAACUAGUCAAAACAAAAAUAUGAGAUGCGGAAUAUACCAUAGGGACAUUCAAACUCUUAAGUGGAAAAUAAACUGACAACGUCAUGGCAAAAAAAGACCAGAAGACAAAUACAACAUAGAAAUAAAAACAGCCGCCAUGUGUUGACGUGAACAUAUUUAACAGUCUGGUUUUAAUUGUGAAUCAUUUAUAUACCUUUUGACAUUGACAAAAAGUCGUUAAAUUAACUUAUCUUAUAUUUUCAGGAAAUAUUUUGCAGAUUUGUGUUGGUAACACGAGUGAACAGAAGUGCCAGAAACCUUUUUUUUUUGUAACUUUUAAUUUUAUUGUUAUGUCUAUUCAUCAUGAGUAUUCAUUAAAAUAUUCAAAUGCAUCGCCUUCUAUUGCAUUAAAUGUGCUUUAGACCCUUACUGUAAAAAACCUUGCUAGUAUGGUCAUAAACUCUUAUAAUUGGUGUUGUAGAUCUUGUAUGUUGCUGUAGCAUUACCUGACAUGUUUCCUUCCUUAAAAGGGAGACGAAAGAUAACAGAGUGACAGUCAAACUCUUAAGUUGAUAUAUGAUAUGUUGUUACAUGUGCAUACUCUCUUACCGUAACAUAACCUGCAGACAGAAUUUUUUUUUUUUUUGUGGUAUAACAGGAAACCUCUGAUCAUAGUAUUCUUAAUGAUAAUGAUAUUUUCAUCUCUAC
rnacentral:lncRNA from 1 species